rnacentral:rRNA from 1 species
AGGGGGGGUAUGCCUUAGUACGGCGAGUGAGCGGCAAAAGCUCAAAUUUGAAAUCUGGUACCUUCGGUGCCCGAGUUGUAAUUUGGAGAGGGCAACUUUGGGGCCGUUCCUUGUCUAUGUUCCUUGGAACAGGACGUCAUAGAGGGUGAGAAUCCCGUGUGGCGAGGAGUGCGGUUCUUUGUAAAGUGCCUUCGAAGAGUCGAGUUGUUUGGGAAUGCAGCUCUAAGUGGGUGGUAAAUUCCAUCUAAAGCUAAAUAUUGGCGAGAGACCGAUAGCGAACAAGUACAGUGAUGGAAAGAUGAAAAGAACUUUGAAAAGAGAGUGAAAAAGUACGUGAAAUUGUUGAAAGGGAAGGGCAUUUGAUCAGACAUGGUGUUUUGUGCCCUCUGCUCCUUGUGGGUAGGGGAAUCUCGCAUUUCACUGGGCCAGCAUCAGUUUUGGUGGCAGGAUAAAUCCAUAGGAAUGUAGCUUGCCUCGGUAAGUAUUAUAGCCUGUGGGAAUACUGCCAGCUGGGACUGAGGACUGCGACGUAAGUCAAGGAUGCUGGCAUAAUGGUUAUAUGCCGCCCGUCUUGAAACACGGACCA